rnacentral:rRNA from 1 species
AUGGCCCCUCUUCUUCUCCAUCGACCCCCCUUCAUACCCCCUCUGAUUAUGCGGAGCCGAGCAGCGGACAUUCUAUGCCGAGGACCGACCGUGGCACCGCCGCACCGGGAUGAAGCUCGAGACCGGCAGACCUUCCCUACAGUGGCACGGCUCGUCGCCGAGCAAGCCGAUGAGGAAGGAGCAGUGAGGCGCCGUGCGCACAUCGGCGCACCGAAAAAGGUCAGCGACGCCGUGCAGGUGUGCCAGGAUCUCCAGUACGACGUCCUCCGGAGCCUCACCAGCAUGAGCACUUCCGGGCCCCUCACCUGUCAUGUCAUCUGCCCCCGCCCCGCGAGAGCGCCGCGGGUGUGUGCAUGUUGCUACUGUUACGGGUGUGUGCAUGCCAUCGCUGGUACUGACUGGUGUGCGCAUUUUAAACCAAUAAUGAGGCUGGGCAACUCGCUCCCAGGAGGCUCCCCCGACUUGGGCUUCGUUAGCCAUCCGAUCUACCCUUCUGGCGUGUCCGGGCCGUCGGAUCUUUCAAUAACCAGAUUUUUCACCUCACGGUCAUUUCGACUCGCCAAUGACGAGUGGGCUCGCGCCUCGUGUUCAUUGGCUGGUUGGCCAUUUCCGCAUGAACGACACUUUGCUCAAUCUGGUCCGUGUGCUACACACCCAAUCUCGCUCGCACACCAGGCACCGCACAACCCUAGCUCCCACUUUCCCCUCGAUCCACUGCCCCUCCCUCCUCCCCGCUUGUCACCAGGGCCUCGGCAUCGCCUACUCCUCCUCCACCACCAUUGCUUAUUCCCCACCUCAACUUCCCUCUCUACGUUGUUUAUCCGGUCAUCGGCGGUGCCUGGAUCCAGAUUUGGCGCAAGUAAGGCCUGGUGGUGGGGCGAAGGGGCACUGGAGAGGGAAGAGGCGGGGACGGGAGGCUCAAUGGAAGAGGGAAGAUGGAUGAGGCGGGGACAGGUGAAGCAGCAGGCUGGUCCUCGUGGAGGCGGCGCUGCCGGCCAGGGGCCAUUCGCGGUUUUUAUCUGCUGCCUUCUUACUCCGGGGCAUGCCAAGGAAGAACUCACGCACACCAGCCAAGGUAGGCUUCCACCUUCUUGCUCACGUUCGUGGUCCAGGCGACCGAGGCGAGCCAGCCCGCUCGAGCUGUCCGAGGUGAAGCAGGUCUCCUGGAUGCGUGCUUCAUCUGAGUUUCACGGGGUACUUAAGCAAUGGUUGCCCCCGCCACAUCACAUACCAUAUGCUCAGAUUAUAAGAAAGAGGAAUUUUGCGUAUUAUCUUGGAGGCAAUGGCAGCAUGGGUGGCAUGAGAGGAAGGAUGGGAAUCAGCUACUUGCAUUCGCACGGAGGAGGCAACAUCGAUGCGAUGGCACGACAGAGGAGGUUGGGCUCGUUGUGGAGCUUCUUGAGGCAGCAGGACGUCGGCGAGAGCAUCGCUGCCGGCAACGGCUCGAGAGACCUCUUGAGGAUCUUCUCCAUGAGCACCUGGGACGACACCAACUCCAACAUCAUGUUCUCAGCGCCCGACAGCAAGAAGGCCGAGGUGCUCGGCGACAGCAAUGUCUGCAUGGUCACCAGCUUCAGCAACAUCGACGCCCAGUUAGCCCUCUCGAGUUGGACAUGCCCAGCAUGGACGACUACCUGCAGCUGUAGUAGGACUCCGCCGACUGCAGAGUCCACGCCAAGCGUGGCUGCACAACUGACCCAUAGAACAUCGCUUGGGAGGGAAAGAAGAACAAGGAUCAAUAAGAGGCUAAGGAGGCUGCAAGACCUCAUUCCCUACAUGGACAAGGUCACAAGUUUAUUCUACCAUGGAUUCCCUCUGAGAAAUCCGAGGAGCCCUUCCUUCUGCAGGCUGGAGCAUGCUGCGGUUGUGCGGGGAGCGAGCACACGAAGGCGAGUUCCACGGGAUCUGAGGAGGGCCUCCGUCGAGCGGGCUUGCGAUCUGUGCUGUGCUAGAGGAGAAUGGCCAGGCAGGAGCGAGUUCUUCGGUGGCGGCGUGUGGCAGGGCGGGCACCGGCAUCCUGUUCUGAGGGUGGCUGCGAUGACAUUCACGCGCAUGGGGCUGGCGGUUAUCCGGCGCGAACCGGUGGUUGUGGAAGACGUUAGGCGUGUGGGGCCGGCGGCCGCCAAGCGUGGGACUGCAAUGGUGGUCUGGCCCGGGUUGGUGGUUGGGGAUGCAGCGCCGAAUGAAGACCUUGUUGCUAGUCUUGGGGGCGGGGUAGGCGACGACGACGCGUGCGGUCGCUUCUUCCUUCUAGAAGGCGUCUUUGAGGCGUUGUGUUUCUUCUCGCUCCACUACGCAAGAAAGCUCGGGGAAACCCUUGAUCCCCUGGGAAGGGCGAUGAUGGCGACGUGUGUGUCGCACCUCUUGGGGCAUUGUUUCGGGAGAUUCUUACCGGCUAGAGGGGCCAGUGAUAGGUGGGGGGUGUCGUUCGUGCUGCUUGGUCAUGUCCCUCUGGGAUGA